UACGAAGGGGGCUAGCGUUGUUCGGAAUUACUGGGCGUAAAGCGCGCGCGGGCGGUCUUCCAAGUCAGUGGUGAAAGCCCGGAGCUCAACUCCGGAACUGCCAUUGAAACUGUAAGACUUGAGGAUGAGAGAGGUGAGUGGAAUUCCCAGUGUAGAGGUGAAAUUCGUAGAUAUUGGGAAGAACAUCGGUGGCGAAGGCGGCUCACUGGCUCAUUACUGACGCUCAGGCGCGACAGCGUGGGGAUCAAACAGG
rnacentral:rRNA from 1 species